CUGGGGAGGCAGAAGCGCGCGUGAAGAGUGCGUGUCUACAGGAGCCGCCGCGCCCGGCCCCGCGCGCGACCCGGCUACGAUUUCCUGGUGGUUCCGUCCUGGUGACAGGGCCCGGGUUAUGACGACUAAUCCCAAGCCCAACAAGACAUUGAAGGUCAAGAAGGAGGCGGGCGAGAACGCCCCUGUUCUUAGCGACGAUGAGCUGGUGUCCAUGUCGGUGCGGGAGCUGAACCAGCACCUGCGGGGGCUCACCAAGGAGGAGGUAACUCGGCUGAAGCAGCGGCGGCGCACACUCAAGAACCGAGGCUACGCCGCCAGCUGUCGCAUCAAGCGCGUGACACAGAAGGAGGAGCUGGAGCGGCAGCGGGUGGAGCUGCAGCAGGAGGUAGAGAAGCUGGCUCGUGAGAACAGCAGCAUGCGUCUGGAGCUGGAUGCCCUGCGCUCCAAGUACGAGGCCCUGCAGACCUUCGCACGCACCGUGGCCCGAGGGCCUGUCACACCCACCAAGGUGGCCACCACCAGUGUCAUCACCAUCGUCAAAUCCGCAGAGCUCUCCUCCACCUCUGUGCCCUUCUCAGCGGCCUCCUAGUGUCUGCUGGGGCCGGGCAGGGUGCGGGCAGUGGCACAGCCCUCAUGCCUAUCCCAGGCUCCCUGGUACAGAUUCCUCAUGUCUACCUGCCCACUGUGGACCCUGCAGGGCUGAGGGCAGGGACGGCAGGGACAGGCAGAUGCAGGAUAAAAGGGAAGCUCUCAUGAGCCAGUGCCACAAGCAACCCCCACUCACAUCUCUCCUUCCCCUGGGGGUACGUCUCUAGGAGCUGACAGGAACCACACGGGCAACCGCGAUGAACAACUCUAGGCCUCUGUGGCAGAGUGUGAGGACUCAGUCUUCCACUUCUCCGGUGCCUGCUUAUCAGCGUCAUCGGUGCCGUCCCCUCUAAGGGCCUCCAGCUGGGUUGGACACCAUCUGUCUGUCACUUCUGGGCUCUGGCCUUCCUGUCCUUACUAAAGGGCGCUACAACCUGCUUUAGCCCUUAGGUAGAGCCAGGCCCAUGUCCUGGGAAACAGUUCCUGAUAUAGCCACUUGCAGGGGCUAAUGUAUGUGUUCCUGUGUGUACACAGGCUACCAUCACAGCCUGUGAAGACCGGAAACUGCUGGCCAAGUGGGAGAGCCUGGCCGGUAUGUGUGCUGAGGGUUACACAAGUGUCAUGGAGUGUCCCUGGAAGUCUGGUAGGCUGCACCCCAUUGUGGUGCAGGGGCCACCUGUCCACAGAGCCAGCAAACAGCCAGGCUCGGGUUCUCUGGGCCUUAGCAGAGGGGAGAGGCUGGAGAGGAGCAGGGGAAGCCUGAGAGAUGCUAAGGGGUAUGUCGGUGGCGUGUGUGUGUUGUUGCGGAAAGAACAGGAAUGAAGUAGACAGGGAUAGUGUGGAAGCCGAGGUCCAGGGGAUGUGGAAGAGGCCGAGAGGAAUACUGUGGAGGGACAGAGACGACUUCUGGAGGGCCUUAUGCACAUAGCCAUUGUGGGCAGGUCGGCAAGGACCCCAGGCAGACUAUAGGUCACAAAUACUCUGCAACUUUGGUGUCCAAUUGUUACCUGCCUUUUCCUCCUUCAUAGCACUCUGGGGCCACUGGCCAUCUUGGUUUUUUUUAACUGAAGGAAUUGUGUCCUCCAGAUCCUGGGGAAUAUGGUGGACAGGGAGUCAGGGGCAGGCUGAACUACAGCCAGGCACUUAGAAAGCACUGUUGGAACCAUAGCCUUGGUAGGUAAUCCAUAUUGGAUAUCAAUAAGGACCAUGGAUAUUUAAAGAGAGAAGAUAUAUAUAUAUAUAUAAUUAUACACACAUUUUAUCGUACAGAUUUUUCAUAACAAUUUUCUUUCCCAGUUUGAUACUGUAGAUCUUUAUUAAUGCAGAGUAGGUUGGACAGUGGGGUGGGGAACGGAGGCCCAGGGUGCCAACAGCCUCCCUCAGUCUUUCUGUGGUGGUGCUGGCAGGCCGGGUCACUGGAUGAGUGGUCUCCAGGGUAGGCAGGUGACCACUGACUGGCUUGCUGCCCGCUCCUGGCCUCUGGUGGUCCUCCUGGGUGGAGGCCCCAUACUCUUGGCGGCCAGGGGAGACAGGGCUGUCAGUACCACUGGAGCACCUGCAGAGGACACCUGCCAGGAGGGGGCUGGGAAGGGUGUGAGCAUGCCCCAUGGCUUCGUGUCACUGAAAUUUCAUUGUCACAACUUAAUAAUAUAUGGAUGUUUUUAUUUAAAGAUAAAAGUGAGUUUUCUGUCUUGUUCCUCUGACUUCUUAAAGCAAGCUUUAACUAUUUCAAAAGGUGUCAGGGACACAUGCCGAUCAUGCCGAGGCCUGGCAUCCUCAGCCGCCUGCCACUUGGCAAUUUCAUUUCAAUAUUUAUUUUUUUUUUGUGCUUUUUUUCCCCCAUGUUAUAAAUUAUUGAGAAGAGAUCAAGAUCACAGACUGUUGGCCCCGUCUGCACCCUGCCUCAUGGCCACCACCUAAUUUAUUGCUGUACAUGUCGCCGUGACUGCUUUUGUAUCUUUGCAAUAAAGAAUUUCCUGUUU
rnacentral:lncRNA from 1 species